rnacentral:tRNA from 1 species
GCCAAUGUGGUGUAAUGGUUUGAAUGUUGGACUACGACUCUGGAGACCAGGGUUUGAUUCCCUGCUCGGCCA